rnacentral:rRNA from 1 species
UAGGGAAUCUUCCACAAUGGACGCAAGUCUGAUGGAGCAACGCCGCGUGAGUGAAGAAGGUUUUCGGAUCGUAAAGCUCUGUUGUUGGUGAAGAAGGAUAGAGGCAGUAACUGGUCUUUAUUUGACGGUAAUCAACCAGAAAGUCACGGCUAACUACGUGCCAGCAGCCGCGGUAAUACGUAGGUGGCAAGCGUUGUCCGGAUUUAUUGGGCGUAAAGCGAGCGCAGGCGGAAUGAUAAGUCUGAUGUGGAAGCCCACGGCUCAACCGUGGAACUGCAUCGGAAACUGUCAUUCUUGAGUGCAGAAGAGGAGAGUGGAAUUCCAUGUGUAGCGGUGGAAUGCGUAGAUAUAUGGAAGAACACCAGUGGCGAAGGCGGCUCUCUGGUCUGCAACUGACGCUGAGGCUCGAAAGCAUGGGUAGCGAACAGG